rnacentral:tRNA from 1 species
AAACUUAGGAUAACACCCUCCAAACCGAAG